AAAACUGAAAACACUCGGAGAAACUAUCUUUUUAACUUCCCCCCUUCUUCUUUACUUAGAUUUAGAUGUUAAAUUCAUUAAUUUAAUCACCCAAAUCACUUGAGAAACCCCUGAUUUCUUUAGAAACUGGAAUCGAGUCCAAUUCCAAAUCCAGUUCCAUCUCAUAGAGCGACCGUGAGUAGAGAUUUUUUUUUCUCCUUUUUCAACAUUAAAGAUCUCUCUGUAAAUUUGUACAUAGAUUUAGCUUUGAACGGUGAAAGCGAUGGUGGAUUGAUGGCCAAGAUGACAGCAGAGAAGAACCAUCAUCAAAAAAGGUGAAGAAACCUAGGGUGGAGGAAAGCUAGAGACGCGAAAUCAGUAAAGAUUCUUUUGAUUUUGUUAUUGCAUAUUAUCGGAAGCUAAGGGAAGCUACCGUUGUUGGUGAGUUGGAUGUGGAGUGGUGCAGAAGGAACAAGCAUCUAUUCGGGUUGGACAACCUGCAAAACGGGGUAGAAAUUUAUGGAGAAUGUUUAGAGAAAUGGGAACAGUCAAUUAUGCAUGAUUGGGGAGGUUUGAAACCUCUUGUAGUUGAAAGGAUUUAGAGUUUCUAAUGAAGAAAGAAAAGCUCUGUGAUUGCGAGCUACAAGUGAGCAAUGCAUCUUACCAGGCUGAAGGACUUGUGAAAGCUCAGCAAGAUAUUGAAGAAUCAAUGAGAGAACGGGUCUGGCAUCCAUAAGAGUUACUGUGGAUUCGAAGAUGGUUGUUGUCUGAGGAUAUGAAGGAAUCAAGAUUGACGAUGGGACAGCGCCACUAAUCUCUAUUCCCGAAAGUGCACUAUUGGAAAAUCCAUUUACAAACCUGCUUCUUUGUUUUGGUUUGCCUUGUAGCAUUAUUAACGAGAGAGUUGCACUGUCAUGGUCCCAGGGUCAUGCUCGAGUAGCUUACAGCAGUGGAGUUUGGAUCUUUAAAAGGUCGUCAUCCUUUACUGGAAGAUGUAAAGAAGAUGGCAGUUGCACUUGGACGUGUUAAUUUUAGCACGCCACCAAAAUAUGAAAAAUUAUGAAGUCCUUCCCGACGAAAUUAUAGAUAGCAAUAUGGAACUAUGUGUUGGAGAUGGAACACUUGGAGAUAUUGAUCCCAGUGAGACUUUGGAAUGGCCAAAGAAAUACGCAACUCCUGCACUUGGAUGUUAAAUCAUAUUGUUUUUAAUUUUUUUAAUUGUUUUUUCUUCUUCUUUGUUGUUUUGAACAUGAAGUAGCUUUUGUUGUUGAAUUUAGAGAUGUUUGGGUUUUUAAGUUGUCAACUGAAAGUUAAUUUUAAUAAAAUGGUUUACAUUUUGCUUACAAAA